rnacentral:rRNA from 1 species
ACAAGCGGUGGAUCAUGUUGUUUAAUUCGAUGAUACGCGAAGAACCUUACCAGGUCUUGACAUCCCCCGCGAUGCUUUAGAGAUAAAGCGGAGGUAUUCGGGGAGACAGGUGGUGCAUGGUUGUCGUCAGCUCGUGUCGUGAGAUGUUGGGUUAAGUCCCGCAACGAGCGCAACCCCUAUUGCUAGUUACCAUCAUUAAGUUGGGGACUCUAGCGAGACUGCCAGUGAUAAACUGGAGGAAGGUGGGGAUGACGUCAAAUCAUCAUGCCCCUUAUGACCUGGGCUACAAACGUGAUACAAUGGCUGGAACAAAGGGAUGCGAAGCAGUGAUGUGGAGCGAAACCCAUAAAAACAGUCUCAGUUCGGAUUGAAGUCUGCAACUCGACUUCAUGAAGUCGGAAUCGCUAGUAAUCGCGGAUCAGAACGCCGCGGUGAAUACGUUCUCGGGGUUU